CCUACGGGAGGCAGCAGUCGAGAAUCAUGCACAAUGGGGGAAACCCUGAUGGGGCGACGCCGCGUGGGGGAAUGAAGGUCUGCGGAUUGUAAACCCCUGUCAUGUGGGAGCAAAUUAAAAAGAUAGUACCACAAGAGGAAGAGACGGCUAACUCUGUGCCAGCAGCCGCGGUAAUACAGAGGUCUCAAGCGUUGUUCGGAAUCACUGGGCGUAAAGCGUGCGUAGGCUGUUUCGUAAGUCGUGUGUGAAAGGCGCGGGCUCAACCCGCGGACGGCACCUGAUACUGCGAUACUAGAGUAAUGGAGGGGGAACCGGAAUUCUCGGUGUAGCAGUGAAAUGCGUAGAUAUCGAGAGGAACACUCGUGGCGAAGGCGGGUUCCUGGACAUUAACUGACGCUGAGGCACGAAGGCCAGGGGAGCGAAAAGGAUUAGAUACCCGAGUAGUC
rnacentral:rRNA from 1 species